AAAAAAUAAGGUUGUUACACGAAUGUCAAUUUUGGGGUAAAUAAUGGGAGCUUGCCUUCAAAGAUCAGAUUAAUAUAAAAGCAUUUUAGGGAAAAAGUAAAAAAACAAAGUCAACCGACCAACAACUACUGAGCAGAAAACAAAACAUAAUCAGAAAUUAACAAGAAUUGUUUGGUCUCAACAGAAUUAGAUCGAAGCAGUGGAGAGAAUGGCAAGAGCAGGAGGUAUAACAAACGCUGUCAAUGUAGGGAUAGCAGUGCAAGCCGAUUGGGAAAAUCGCGAAUUCAUCUCUCACAUUUCCCUCAAUGUUCGUCGUCUCUUCGAAUUCCUCCUCCAAUUUGAGGCUACUACCAAGAGUAAGUUGGCUUCGCUCAAUGAGAAGCUGGAUACGCUGGAGCGACGUCUGGAGGCCCUCGAAGUCCAAGUGGGUACUGCAACUGCUAACCCUUCUCUUCUUAGUACUUGAUAUUGAGGUGUUAUUUGUAGUGAUUCUGCUUCACUAUAAGUGCUCUGUCUUUUCUGUAUUUCUGCUUGUGAACUGAAUAUACUUCAUCUUGUAUUGUAUUCCUUUUAAAGGGUAAUAUAUAUGUCUU
rnacentral:misc_RNA from 1 species